rnacentral:misc_RNA from 1 species
CGCGAAAGAAUUUGGUGUGCAUGCGCACAGACUAAAUGUACCGCUGAAACAUACGUGACGUACGUCAAUACGUCAGGGCUAUCUUGCACGUGCUAGUUGCGCAGAAACUGCUCCAGAUCCCGCGAAUCAGAUCAGAACUUAAAUAGAACUCCAGACUGUUAUGUUACACCCUACAUGUACUAUGUACACAUCUUCAGUGUGUCACUGGUGAGCCGCAUCUGUCUGAAAAUAAAAUAGGACAAAGCCUAGUCUUCAAAAGAGUUGACGUCACACGGUAUUUCGUAUGGCAUGGCAGCUAACAACAUUUCAUCAGCAAAUACCAGUGGCUUUUCUGCUCGUUUGAUGAUUGGCAAGGGAGCCGACACCAUGCCAGGGUCUCUUGGACUGCGAAGCCCAAAGAAAAUGCACAGUAUGGGCAACAUUCUGGAAAUAGAGACUUUGAAGCAGGAGACCAAGAGCUGCUACACCCACUCCAACCCUGGCUCAUCCCAACCCCCUUCCAAGACAUCCAACUGCAAGGACAAACACAGCCUUUGGAAGUCUGUGCAAGACUGCCAUGCCUCACUAACUGUUGCAAACCCUCGACACUUUGAAUUUGCAGUUGCCAAUCUUUGCUUUUUGCUUAAGGCUUAUGGUCGAGAUCUGGACAAUUAUGUUAAAGGGUAUCAUUCAAGGGGUGUCUGGAACACAAGCAAGCGUCAGUACAACAGAUAAUACACUAGUUGGACUACCUUCGUUGUCUGGUGGUGUCAGUCGACCAGUUCAGUACAGUCGCGAGUUUCUUCUUAAAUGUUGGGACUCUCCCUUAUGCAGAUUGAUGCCUGCCGCUCUGCAACAGACCAUUCCACACAGUGAUAUCUACUAUCUCAAAAGAAUCCCAACAUUUGAAGAUCCAUCAUUUCUACUGAAGGAUGUAAAGUCACCAGUAAACAUCAAAGCCACAGGUUGGGGCCCAUACCCAGACAAGUCAAACAGAAAUCUUCAUUCAGGCUGGCCCAGCACCAUGCAUAGUGAGACAUAACUGAGCAGCAUUUCAUUUACAUGCCCAGAAUGACAAAUGUCAAUACGGGAGUUCCGGUAAAAAAAGAAGCCAUCUUGAGAUUCUAAGAUACAGUAUUAAAGUAGUGUUGUUACAAUGUUUUUUUUGAGUUAAAGACACAAGUUUAAUCUACAUACAAAGUUCAGAGCUGUAUCAAAGGUACUACCAAAUACUGCAUCGAUAUAAGAAGUAUAAAAAUCUUUGCAUGUUCUUUCCCUGAGAAAGGCAUUGAUAAAUGAAACACAUUUGUAUAACUACUGAGGUUAAAGGCAGAACUGCUCUCUUUCCAUGCAUCUUCUGCUCAUUCUUCACAGUUUUAGAGGUCUUAGGGGUUUGAGAGUAUGUUCCAUUCAAGUAAGUAUUCAAGAGUUUUGUUAUGUCCAGUUUGAAAUCAUUCAUAAAUGUCAGUGUUUGUUAUGUUUAUGCAGUUGAAAUGCAUCCCUAAUUCAGUGAGCCAAAACCAGUAAAAAUGCACUUCAAAUUAAUUGAACAUUUAUCAAACAUGUGUACAUGUGCAUUGCACAACUUCCCUCAAUGAUACGUUUAAAUUUUGUGCUAGUGAGCGGUACUUGAAAAUAUUCCCUGGCAGGAACCUCAUCCCGGGGAUUUUUCACUUUGCUUGCUUAUGAAAAGGAUGGGGAAAAUGGAUGACUGAUUUUGGUUGAUGUACAAGCACAUAAAAACUGGAUGAAUGGUGUAACCGUUCAAUUUUACAAUUUUUCAGCAAUAUUUUCAGCCAGUAAUGAAAAAACAUUGCAUGUCAAAUAUAAAAACAUCAACUAUCAAUAUGUGUCUUGGUUAAGAGAAUGAUAACAAUAGCUGUGCAUGUAGGGUACAUGUAUGUGUAACUAUAUCUUCAGAGUGAAAACACUUAGUUUUAGGUGACUGUUUCUUACGUUAACUAUUGACAUGCGUGAGACAUGUAGAGAAAUGCCAUAAUAUUGCUAUUUUCAUACAUACAUGUAAUACAUACAUGUAAUUGUUCAUGACACAUGCAAACGAUAUGCAUAUUCUCACACUUCUUUAAACUAUGAAAGAGAAAUCCUCCAGUCAUUGAAAACAGGUCAUGGAUAUAAUGCCAGUGUUGGCAAGAUGACAUUUUUAUUCAUUAUUGGGUUACAAUGCUUUGAGUCGGAAGUUACAUAUUUCCAUUUGAAACUAAUCAUUCUGUGUAAUAGGCAAAAGUAGUUCAGAAGUGUGUGUAUUACUGCUCAGGACAUUCAUAGUAGAAAAAAUAUUUUGACAAGGAGACAAGUUAACAUGCAUAUUAGACAUCCAACUUUAUAAAGAAUGGAGAAAGAUAGAAUGCGGUGUGUAAGUGCUUGCCAGAAUUUCCAUUGUAAGGCACUCUAUGUAUAUGAAAGAAACACAGGGUUAAUUGUUUAAUUAAACAAUUUUUCAAGCAUGAUGAUUCAUACUCAUGAAUAAAAGGAAUUGGUUGAACAUGCUUUCUUUCAUUCAUUUAAAAUCGUUUGGAAUUUAACAAAUUUUCUAUUUCUUUGUAACCAAAACGUACAUAAUUUUCACAAAAUGUAACCUAUUUUCAUGUCAUUACUUGCCAGUUAACACUGUCUUCAUGACACCAUUUUUCAAAAUAGUACUUGCUUUUUUUUUUACUUUACAUCAUAAUUAAUCAUAAUAAUAUUUAUUUUUUAUAUCAAAUUUGCCUAAAUCUGUUGGACUAUAUUUGGUACCUAUUUGAUCAGCUCAGGUAAAAAAAAUUAUGCAUGUUUGAAGCUUGUCUAUGCAGGUUGAAGUAAUACUGUUCUCUUGAUGGUUUCAUUUCUUUGUUCAUGUACAUGGCAAGAGUGAAAAAAGCCUUAUUUUGUGGUUCUAAAAUUUACAUAGUACAUGUACCAUGAUUUGGGGAAUGCAGUUAUUUGUAUUUUUGUUAAUGCUGAUCAUUUACAAAGUGCUAUAAUGUGUUGAAAUAAGCUGGACGUGCAAGAUGGAAGUGGUCUGUGCAGUCAGUUGAACCAUUUCUUUACCUCACAAAGCUUAAUUACAAGUUUGCAUCAAUAGGCUUGCAUCUUUUUAUUGAAUCAAAAUCCAAAAGUCCCUUGUAUUGGUUGUAGGAGAAUAGAUUUAACCAACACUGUAGCUGAAGGUGGCUGAAGGUACAUGUAUAGCAGGCCUGUAUAAUAAUUAGUCUUCAUAAUGACACUACUUACAUUGUUGUUGCCCAAGUUACUGUUAUCAUUCUCUGAUUUGGGUGGUGCUAUACAUGUUGUAUGUUUUCAGGAGUGUAAAAUGCGUACAGAUACAAUGUGUUCAUUCAGAAGAUGUCGGUUCCAAGGUUGAGUUUUAAAGGCUGAGUUCAUUUUCAAAGUUUUAAACUAAGUGUAUUCAUUACUCAAAGGACAUGGUCCUACUCCUGCCUUGUACUGAGGAGAACCACAGUGUGAAAGAUGCCGAAAGCCGAAAGAAGCUGACAGAGGGAAAGUACCCAUUUGUGUCUAGGGAUAUUGCCUGUUUUUCAUUCAGUUUUUGGCAGGAUAAAGAUAAUAGUGCAUGUAAUGUUUCAGUUAUUUUAGGAGGUAGGUUUACGCUGUAUGUAUGUCAAAAGACCAUGAAUGAUCAUAACAUUUUACUGACAAUAUAAGUGGAAAAGACCCGGCUUGAAUUACAUCUAAUUGUGUUGAAAAGUCAAUGUUUUUGCCUUUUGUAAUAAGUCACAUUCUUGAAAAAAUAAUUAACAAAAUGUUUUAUUGAGGUGUUCGGAUUUGUUUUGAAUUAGUACCAGAAGUAGUGUUUGAUACGUGUGACUAAAAGCAAUUUGUUUAAUUUUGCAUUUUCAAAGAUUGUUGGUAGCUUAGUUUUGUUUGGCAGCUGCAUGUAGAAAUAGUAUUUCUAAUAGAAUUUCCCAAAAGGGGAAAACAAAUUGCAGUUGAAAGAUAUAAGAACGGGGUACUCUACUUUUGUAAUAUUUGCCAGCUUUUCAAGUAUUGUGUCAUACAGUACCUUAAAAGUGAUACUUCUGAAGUGUAAUUGUCUGUAAUUGUCUUCUGUAGUUUAACAGUGCAGUUAUAAAUGCUGUUAAAUAAAAGUCAGUUGACCCUGUUUCAGCACCCCAAAACCAUUUUCAACAAACAUCAAUGCACAUUCUGUAACUAAGCACCCGGAGGUGAAAACUGUUCUAGUAGGCUUAAGUUAUGCUAUUGCCAUAUUCUAAGGUAUUUGCUUAAAUAUUUUACAAUUGUCACUUCACACCAUUAAAAUCUAAAUAUGAGGUAGAAAAGUCAGUCUUUCAGUAAAAGAACAAAGAGCCAAUCAGGUGUUGACAUUAAGUUAAGCUGUAAUGAACAUGUUAUGUAUUCAAUAUUUUCUUGCACUGAGCUUCAGGCAACAAUAUCAGCUAUUUAGGUUUAUUUGCUUUUGUUUUGUGUUACAUGUAUUGUCAUUUUAACUGAUAAUAAAAUCCCACCACAAAUACUGGCA